rnacentral:rRNA from 1 species
AUAUUAUUAAGUGGAGGAAAAGAAACCAAAAGGGAUUCCCCCAGUAUAGGMGAGCGAAAAGGGACCGGCCCAUCGCAGAAUCCCUCCCCCGAGGGAAAUGUWGHDUUUGGGADUGGVUCUUUGGAGCGCGUCGAGGAAGGCCCAAGUCCCCACGAACGGGGCACCGUAGAGGGUGGCAGUCCCAUACGGUCUUCUCCCUCGCGUCUUCGUUGACCAAUCCUCGGAGUCGGGUUGCUUGAAAGUGCAGCCCAAAGUGGGUGGUAUGCUCCACCUAAGGCUAAAUACUCCCGAGAGACCGAUAGCAAAUAAGUACCGUGAGGGAAAGUUGAAAAGAACUUUKAAGAGAGARUUCAWCAGUGCGUGAAACCGCUUAKAGGUAAACGGGUGKKCCCUCGAARUCUURGGGGGGGCGGGUGUGCCUCGGCCCUUUGAGGCCGCAGGUUUCAAGCUUGCCCCCCAUUUAAGGGGCCGCGACUGGUCGGUCGAGGAUHRGAAGGACCKMYKSCGAGGAAAGUGGGACCCCCCCGCGGGGUUCCGGCCUCUGCCUCGAGAMGAGUCSAUCCUCGCACCGACCCAGUUACAGAGAGAUAGAUCCUCGAACCGGCGUUCCCUCCAAGGAUGGCCAAGGGUCUGCGGUCAGUAGAUCGGGUCCCACCCGACCCGUCUUG